AACGAACGCUGGCGGCAUGCCUAACACAUGCAAGUCGAACGAGACCUUCGGGUCUAGUGGCGCACGGGUGCGUAACGCGUGGGAACCUGCCCUUAGGUUCGGAAUAACUCCCCGAAAGGGGUGCUAAUACCGGAUAAUGUCUUCGGACCAAAGAUUUAUCGCCUUUGGAUGGGCCCGCGUUGGAUUAGCUAGUUGGUAGGGUAAAAGCCUACCAAGGCGACGAUCCAUAGCUGGUCUGAGAGGAUGAUCAGCCACACUGGGACUGAGACACGGCCCAGACUCCUACAGGAGGCAGCAGUGGGGAAUAUUGGACAAUGAGCGAAAGCCUGAUCCAGCAAUGCCGCGUGAGUGAUGAAGGCCUUAGGGUUGUAAAGCUCUUUUACCCGGGAUGAUAAUGACAGUACCGGGAGAAUAAGCUCCGGCUAACUCCGUG
rnacentral:rRNA from 1 species